CGAUGAAACUGACAGCUGACAUCCCCCAAAAUAACCACACAAAAAACAUUCAGUCACUUACUGAUAUGUCAAUUUCCAAUAAGUGAACUUAAGUGAAAUGAGAAUAAGAAAACCUAGAGGCUUAUCAGCACUAUCGACGACACAAUUAAUGGUAACAGUAGCUGUAGGAGUUCUUGGAGGAAUAUACAUUUACAACCCAUUGCUGAGGGAUAAUCAAAACAAAUUACAUAACGACAGCACAGAACCGGUAGAAACGAAUACAUCAACUAAACCGAGUCUUUCUGUGUCACCCGAACCAGUCGCUGCGGCAAAAUGACCUCUGCGUCUCGAACAUCAAAGCCUGCGGCUAUUUUCCCGUUGAUGGCUACAGGACUUGGUCUUUCAUUCGUUUUUGUGAUUGGAUAUCGAUUUUGGCUGGGUCCGUACUUGGAGAGUAGAAGACGCGAACAAAAUAAAGUAUUCGCCGAUUCAUUAUGGGCUAUGGAACAUAAGCAGGAACCGGAAGGAUGAGAGCUAUGGUCAGUGAACUAAGAACGUUUAGAAAAUAGAGGUUUAUUCAAGAAUUAAAGGAAAAUAACGAAAA